rnacentral:lncRNA from 1 species
CGUCAUACCAAGCAAUUAUCAAAUAUCACAGUACCAGACAUAGUCGUGAUGAGAUCGGAAGCGGAAAUGAAUGAUUCAGUGAACUGAAAUGCGAUUGCAAAUGGAAUCGCAAACCCUAGAAUUUGGGGAAAAUAACUAGAAUGAAAGUGCCAUGCCGGAGUCUCAACAGAAAACGAAAAUCAAUGAAUCUGGAUGUUGGAUAAAGGAAGAAAGAUGAAUUCAGAUAAAUGAAUCGAAAACAAAUUUUCAACAAAGAAUGAGAAGAGCAACGGAACAAGAACGAAUCAAUCUGCAAAUAUCACACAGAUAUGAGCGAAGCAACAUCAAGAACUCAAUCGAAAACGAAAUUGAAGAAGAUGAUGAAUCGGUGAAAUAAACGGAUAGGGGAAAUUGAUUCUGUGAAUGAAAUUGGGAGAAAGAAACUAAAGAGAUAUGAGAAAAUUGAAUUUUCUCAAGAAAAUGCAGCGGAAAAUUUGUUCAAGGUGGAUACCAAAUUUGCUCUAAUACCAUGUUAAGAAUCAUGGCAUCCAUAGAAAAGUAGAGAGAAAAGUAAAAAAUUUUGUAUUGAUGAUAAUGAGUACAAUUACAAUUGAUAAGAAAAUUAGGUACAAUUGACUUAUUUAUAGGCUAACUAACUAGACUAACUAACUAGUAACUAAUGCAACUAACUAUACCUCUAAUA